UACCAGCAUCCUGAACCUGAAUGUCCAGCUUCGCCUUGUUCUUUGUGGAUUAUAAGACCAUUGAUUAAAUAAAUCCUUUCAUCAAAAUUAUCUUAAAAAAGAAACUACCAUCUAAAUCCAGUUAUUCCAUCUGACUUGGUAGCAGUGAUGUUUGGAGUUUAGGACCUAAAGGUGAAAUGGGGAAAAUCUGGGUGCUCGGAAAGACACCAGAAGCACACAGAAGAAGAUCAUAUGAAGACACAACAAGAAGGUGACUAGCUGCAAGCCAAGAAGAGAAGCCUCAGAAGAAAUCAAACGUACUAGCACCUUGA
rnacentral:lncRNA from 1 species